rnacentral:rRNA from 1 species
UACGUAGGGUGCAAGCGUUGUCCGGAAUUAUUGGGCGUAAAGAGCUCGUAGGCGGUCUGUCGCGUCGGCUGUGAAAUCCCGAAGCUCAACCUCGGGUCUGCAGUCGAUACGGGCAAACUAGAGUAUUGCAGGGGAGACUGGAAUUCCUGGUGUAGCGGUGAAAUGCGCAGAUAUCAGGAGGAACACCGGUGGCGAAGGCGGGUCUCUGGGCAAUAACUGACGCUGAGGAGCGAAAGCGUGGGGAGCGAACAGG